AGGGGCAUAAGCUAAGGGUAAACUGUUGGUCUCCAAAACCAACUUUGAGGGUUCAAGUCCUUCUGCCCCUG
rnacentral:tRNA from 1 species